rnacentral:tRNA from 1 species
UAUAAAGUAAGCUAAGUCUAAGCUAGUGGGCUCAUACCCCAAAUAUGAUAAAUAUCCUUUAUAA